CAAUGUAUUUUGACCGCAUGAUCGAAAUACCAAAGAUUUAUCGCUGAAGGAUGGACUCGCGUCUGAUUAGGUAGUUGGUGGGGUAACGGCCUACCAAGCCGACGAUCAGUAGCCGGACUGAGAGGUUGAUCGGCCACAUUGGGACUGAGACACGGCCCAGACUCCUACGGGAGGCAGCAGUGGGGAAUAUUGCACAAUGGGCGCAAGCCUGAUGCAGCAACGCCGCGUGAAGGAAGACGGUUUUCGGAUUGUAAACUUCUGUUCUUAGUGAAGAAUAAUGACGGUAGCUAAGGAGCAAGCCACGGCAAACUACGUGCCAGCAGCCGCGGUAAUACGUAGGUGGCAAGCGUUGUCCGGAAUUACUGGGUGUAAAGGGAGCGCAGGCGGGUGAUCAAGUCAGCUGUGAAAACUACGGGCUUAACCCGUAGACUGCAGUUGAAACUGUUCAUCUUGAGUGAAGUAGAGGUUGGCGGAAUUCCGAGUGUAGCGGUGAAAUGCGUAGAUAUUCGGAGGAACACCGGUGGCGAAGGCGGCCAACUGGGCUUUAACUGACGCUGAGGCUCGAAAGUGUGGGGAGCAAACAGGAUUAGAUACCCUGGUAGUCCACACUGUAAACGAUGAUUGCUAGGUGUGGGGGGUCUGACCCCUUCCGUGCCGGAGCU
rnacentral:rRNA from 1 species